CGACCUAAUUAUAUCAUCCGUGUGGUAGUGGGUUAAUAUAUACGAGUAAAAAGAAGAGGAAUAAACGCAUAUAUUUUGAGUAAUGGUCGUACAGCCCCUGAUCAAGGGAGUUUGAACCAAAUAUUGUCUGGACUAGUCAUCAAAGUCGUCGUCGUCUUCGGACGUGGAUACUCCUAUUUAAUUUUGCUGCCUAGUUGUGUCGUCCCUGACAACAUAAGUGGGAACAGGAACCUGCAUGGUGCUACGUUAUAGAUUAGCUAAUAUACUAACUAGCUAAUAAUAACAAUCAAAACAGCGAAAUUGUUGACGUGUUCGGACGUGGUUACUCAUGAAUUCUGCCGUAUCCCAUUUUAGUGUUGUAGCUGGGAGAGGGGUACACGAAGGAGAAAUGGCUACUAGUAUAUGUAAGAAGAUUUUCUCUCCUGAGGUUGCAUUACAACUGAAUUAAACAGGGACAGAGAUAAAAAAAGGAAUCAAGUCACUAAAGUGUGAUGCAUGUGGCAAACAAUAUAAAAGAAAUUUUUCGAGAUCAAAAGUCACAGGCUCCAUAAGUAGGUGGCUUCGAAGUAAUUCAAAGAGGAGAGCCAUAAAUAAUGUUGAUUUGCCAAGAUAAUAAAGAUUUUUCAAAGGUCGAUUAUCUCCCCUAUAGGUGACAAGAGGUAACAACGAAAGCAGGACUAUAUACACGAGUGGUUAUAACCAAGAUGAGUCGAUAUUCGCACGGCUAUCCGUAAAUGCAGCGCAGAAGCAUUUUAUUUUAUUUUGUGUCGCAAAAGUUUGUAAAAAAAAUCGAAAUAGAUUAUUUCCAAUUAUGUUCCCAAUUAUGUUUGACAUGUGAGAAUGCUUAUCAAUUAACUACCGACGGUUAAAUGCCAUAAAAAUUUCAACCAAUUUGUAACAAAUCAGUAUUAAAAUACAU